rnacentral:lncRNA from 1 species
UCUGCUGUCAGGUGGCCUGUGUAGCGCAUAAGCUCACUGCCAGCUUGGAGCAGCAAAGGGUGAAAUAUUUCAGCAACGUCAGUCUGGCUGAGCUGCAGAAAAUUCCAACUCAGUUGCUCAUACACCUGCCGUGAGUCCCACAGUGCAGCCACGGCCACAUCAUUUACGCAUGUUUAAACCUCUUCAACCUUCUCCAUGUACAUCACACGUCUAGGGUGGAACAGAUCACAGGUCUGCCAGAUGCAGUGUGUGGCGCCUUUCUGGAAAAGAUGCAUCAUGCAAACCUCUCCUGUCUACCUCAGAGUUCUCCGUCUCGGGCUGCACUCACCAGUCGGGCACUAGCCUGUUUGGGUAAGAGCCUCUCCACUGUGUCUGCUGAAGAACUUCAGUCUCUGGGGCAGCUGCUCUGUGAGGUUGGCCCAUCUCAGCUGUCCUUACUGUUGCCCCCGGUCCUCAAUUCCACACUGGUGGCUCUCACAUCCUGCAGUUUCAGACGGAGCCAACAGGCAGAAUUAUUCCAGCUAGUGACAAAAACCUUUGGGAAGCCGUCUGACUGGUCUGAAGAAAUGAUGAAUUUGUUAAGACCCUACCUCCUGCUGGAUAACUCCACCCUUAGAUCACUUCCUUAUCAGGUAGGCAAGAGAUGGAUGAAUAGAGGAGGGAGAUGA